rfam:Dipodomys ordii contig_2450, whole genome shotgun sequence.
GGUGGCUCAGUGGUAGAGUGCUUGCCUUGCAUGCAUGAGGACCUGGGUUCGAUUCCUCAGCACCA